GCCGAGCCAGGUAGCGGUGGCUUGUAACCCGAGAGGGGGCAGUGAGGUGGUGCGGAUGCCUGGUCGUUGCGGUUGGGCCUGGGUUCCGUGGGUACGCACUAUGCGGCCCGCCCGUUCCAAGUUGAAUAGUUGUGCGCUGGCGCCUGGGCGAAGGCCCGAGCGUCCGUUCACCUGGAGUGGUGGGCACUGCGUGAGGCUGGCUUCACAGAGCAGCGAGUACCGCCCGCUUCCAACGGUGGAAGGAUAACGGGCCGCGGCUACCCUGGCCCGCUUCUGGCCCAAGAGCCCUCCAUGGUAGACCACCAUCCUCU
rnacentral:SRP_RNA from 1 species